rnacentral:rRNA from 1 species
CAGCCGCCGCGGUAAUACGAAGGGUGCAAGCGUUAAUCGGAAUUACUGGGCGUAAAGCGUGCGUAGGCGGUUUGUUAAGUCUGUUGUGAAAUCCCCGGGCUCAACCUGGGAAUGGCAAUGGAUACUGGCAAGCUAGAGUGUGUCAGGGGAUGGUGGAAUUCCCGGUGUAGCGGUGAAAUGCGUAGAGAUCGGGAGGAACAUCAGUGGCGAAGGCGGCCAUCAGGGACAACACUGACGCUGAGGCACGAAAGCGUGGGGAGCAAACAGGAUUAGAUACCCCCGUAGUCCCUGUCUCUUAUAA